GGGAAUUGAACUUUUCGGCCCGGGUAGAAUUGCAUUUCCUUGCAUUGGGAAAAUGCAUUUCUUGCAUUGCAUUUCUUUGGAGUUUCCUCGUGUGGCGAGCACAGUGUCUACAAACACACCGCACAGAUGAAAUGCGGAAGGACUCUUCAGGGUAUUUCAAGGUGCCGCCAAUGUUGGCUUUGUGUCCCAAAGACUGGGUGGCUUUUUGUUUGCCAGGCCUCCUCUAUCUGUUGUGGUGGUUGCCAGAGUGUAACACCAGGCCGGCAUUGAUUGUUUCCACCGCUAAUCCACGCUAAUUGAUUUUUAUCUGAAUCACAGAAUGUGGGCAGCCUCCGUUUGCUCAAGAAACCUCACUGCACUCUUUGCCUCACUGUAUUCAUGAGCAGAGGAAAGAGAUGAGGCUGUGUCUUUGUCUCGUCUGGGUCUGCCUCCAGAUUCCAAAACGAACAUUCCCUGCGCCAUCUCUGAGGCACAUAGUAUCUUCCUGACAUUCUCCUGGCAACCUCUGAGCCAAUGCACAAGAGCAUGAGUGAUGCUGUUGACCAUCAAUCAACCAACCAACCAACCCAUCAAUCCCCAGCAAAGCUGUGUGUGUGUGUGUGGGGGGGGAGGUCUGCCCUUAAAAAGAGGAAAGAAGAAGGAACUACCUGGGCUACAGUCACCCAGUUUCUGAGCUGAAAAAUGCCUUAGUUCUGUUUGCAUCCAAUGAUAGAAAUGGCGGUACAGUUUAAUGUAGUGAUUAAAGUGCUGGCCUAGAAACCAGGAGAAACCUGGGAUUUCUAGUCCUACUUUAGAUAUGAAAGCUGUCUGGGUGACUUUGGGUCAGUCACCAGGAGAUGGUGAGUUUUAGUCCUGCCUUAGGCGCAAAAGCCAGCUGAGUGACUUUGGACUAAUCAUAAUGAGACUCCAAAUUCUAGUCCUGAAAGCCAGCUGGGUGACCUUGGGGCAAUCCCCAGGAGACAGUGAGUUCUAGUCCCCCCCCCCCUUAGC